UGGAAGAAACGUAGCUGUAUAUCAGAAGAAUCAUUGCUGUAUUAAUUCAACACCACAGGGAACGUGCUCAAGCUGAUAACAAGUUUCGUAGAACCUGCUGUUUAAUUUAAAAACAUAUAAGACAGAUGGUUUUCACUGUCUCUGCUUUCUACCCACUGCUCUGAAUUUUGACUAGUAGUAAUUUGAGUGAGGGUAAACGGCGAGUGUAACUACGACUCUCUUAAGAUAGCUAAAUGCCUUGUCAGCUAACUAUUGACGAGCAUGAAUGGAUUAACGAGAUUUUCAAUAUCCUUAACUACUACCAAGCGAAACUUCACCCAAUGAAACGGACUUGG
rnacentral:ncRNA from 1 species